UACGUAGGGUGCAAGCGUUGUCCGGAAUUAUUGGGCGUAAAGAGCUUGUAGGCGGUCUGUCGCGUCUGCUGUGAAAAUCCGGGGCUCAACCCCGGACUUGCAGUGGGUACGGGCAGACUAGAGUGUGGUAGGGGAGACUGGAAUUCCUGGUGUAGCGGUGAAAUGCGCAGAUAUCAGGAGGAACACCGAUGGCGAAGGCAGGUCGCUGGAACGGUACUGACGCUGAGGCGCGAAAGCGUGGGGAGCGAACAGG
rnacentral:rRNA from 1 species